AGUGAAGAGGUGUAUCGCGUU
rnacentral:siRNA from 1 species